rnacentral:rRNA from 1 species
UACGUAGGGUGCAAGCGUUGUCCGGAAUUAUUGGGCGUAAAGAGCUUGUAGGCGGUUUGUCGCGUCUGCUGUGAAAUUUCGGGGCUCAACCCCGAACUUGCAGUGGGUACGGGCAGACUAGAGUGUGGUAGGGGAGACUGGAAUUCCUGGUGUAGCGGUGAAAUGCGCAGAUAUCAGGAGGAACACCGGUGGCUAAGGCGGCUCUCUAGUACGGUACUGACGCUGAGACGCGAAAGCGUGGGGAGCGAACAGG